rnacentral:rRNA from 1 species
GACAUAGGUGGCAAACGUUGUCCGGAUUUACUGGGCGUAAAGGGCGUGCAGGCGGUUUGUUAAGUGCAGGGUGAAAGCUCCCGGCUCAACUGGGAGAGGUCCUUGCAUACUGGCAGACUUGAGGGAGGCAGAGGAAAGUGGAAUUCCUGGUGUAGCGGUGGAAUGCGCAGAUAUCAGGAGGAACACCGGUGGCGAAGGCGGGUCUCUGGGCCGAUACUGACGCUGAGGAGCGAAAGCGUGGGGAGCGAACAGG